rnacentral:rRNA from 1 species
AUGAAGGAUUCGGCGGACAAACGUCGCUCAGACCGCACGUUCGCGGUGGACGAUUGGGUUUUCCUCAAGCUCCAACCAUAUGUCCAGCGUUCGGUGGCGACACGGAGCAACCAUAAGCUAUCCUUCCGGUACUUCGGGCCGUACAAGGUGUUGCAGCGCAUUGGUGCGGUGGCAUACAAGCUCCAGCUUCCGCCUACCAGCACCGUGCAUCCGGUCUUCCACGUCUCGCAGCUGCGUCAAGCCCUUCCACCAACGGAGCAAGUCCACCAGCAACUUCCAGCAGCAGCUGCGACAAGCCCCGUCCCCGAAGAGGUUCUGGACAGGCGAAUGGUGCAGCGCGGCAACUCAGGAGUCCCGCGGGUCCUGGUUCGCUGGACGGACCAGCCCGUGGAGUUUGCAACCUGGGAGGACCGCAUCGAGCUACAACAACAUUUCUCCAAUGCUCCAGCUUGGGAACAAGCUGUGUCUGAAGGAGGGAGGGAUGUUACGGUCCCUGGCCCUCAGGCCCCAUCAGCAGAAGACCAGGGCGACACUGCCACGACCCCGGUGACUGGGCUGGAACGACCACGUCGCCAGGCCCAGCCCAACAAGCGCUACACAGGCCCCAAAUGGAACACCGGCAAAUAG